AUCAGGAAGACUGUGCAUGCAAGUAAAGAGAUAUUUUAAAAAGUUAUGUCCUUGUUAAUGGGUUCUGGAGGGAAUCUAGGAAGGUCCCAUUUCUUAAAUAUUCUCUCAGACUAAGUAUUUCAGAAUUGUUGCUAUUUAUCAUAUGUGUGAACAAUGGUAUCAGAAAAUACAAAGGCUUUAUAUGCUUACUAGAUUUCUAAUGCACUGAGUCCACCUAAUAUCAGGAAAAGGAAACUUCUCUUUACAACUACAGAAAACCACAUUCAAUCAAUAUGCCAACUUGUGGAGCACAUUCUAAAUGGAUAUAUCUGAACUACAUGCCUAUUGACUUAGCCUCAAGGAACAUUGUGGAAGAAGCUACAGGAAGAUUGUAAGAGCCAGAGGAUAAAGAUAUUAGACACUGAAAGGACUAGGAAAGAAGGCGAAUUAGUCCCUGUUGCUCUUAAUAGUUUCUCUUAGAAAAUGGAAUCAGAGAAAACAAGGAUUUGUUUCCAUCAUUUCACAACAUUCCUGCACAUUGCCUAGUAGAAACCUUCAGUAUCCUGUGCAAACCUAUGAAAGCAUCAUAAUCCUGAGACAUGUAUAAACAUAAGGAACCAGUGUAUUUCAAGUAAAUAUGAAAAACUAUAAGCGCAAAGCACAGUGUAAAUGAAGUUAGGCCUCAGUAUACUUUUAACAGUCUAUUCUGCUUUCAAGUCAGCACAAAAAAAUAUAUAAAAAUGUCAUAAUUUGGGACCAUAAAAUGCUUUCAGGCUGUCUCAUGGUAUCAGUGAUACUGUCACUGCAUCCGUAUUUCUUUUGCAUUCAGAUUCAGCAUUCCAUAUUCCAUGACCAAGUUUCCAACUGUCAAUUUGUAACUGUUUGUUUAAGGCUCUUCUCUGAUCUUCAGAGACAUUGCAACCAGAGGACAAUAAUAAAGUAUAAACUGUAGCAAAUAAAUGUCUU